UCCAUUUAUGAAUUUUAACACAGUAAAGUAACGACUCCUCGCUUUUGACCAAGCCACGAACUGAAGAGUGAAGCCGCAAGUGUGGAGGAAGAAGAGGAAAGAAAACCCCCAAACGACACGAAGACCUCAAAAACGACGACGGAGUAAACAUGCAUUCUUUUGGAUACAGAGCGAACGCCUUGCUGACGUUCGCCGUCACCAUCCUAGCGUUAAUGUGCGCCAUCGCCUCCGUUUCGGACACUUUUAACCACCCUACUCCGUCCGCUGAAAUCCAGAUAUCGAAUAUUAAUUGGUUCCAAAAGCAACCGCAUGGGAAUGACGAGGUCAGCUUGUCGAUGAACAUAACGGCCGACUUGCAGUCAUUGUUCACAUGGAACACAAAGCAGGUUUUCAUAUUUGUUGCGGCUGAGUAUGACACCCCCAAGAAUUCUUUGAACCAAGUUUCUCUAUGGGAUGCUAUAAUUCCUACCAAAGAGCAUGCAAAGUUUUGGAUUCACACCUCAAACAAGUACCGAUUCAUUGAUCAGGGAAGCAAUCUUCGUGGUAAGGAAUUCAACUUGACAAUGCACUGGCAUGUGAUGCCCAAAACUGGCAAGAUGCUUGCGGACAAAAUAGUGUUGUCUGGAUACCGUUUGCCUGAGGAUUACAGAUGAUGGAGUGCUUUGUUUGUAUGAUUUUGCUGUAACUUUAGCUCUUCAAACAUACUGAUGACAGAGGCCAUCUUUGACGCCAAUCGUGUGCCGGAACUUCAGUACAUCACUCCACAUGCUGGCAGCGGAGUAACAAAUUGGAGACGUGAAUAAGUGAAUGAACUGGUUAUCCUUGUAUUUGUUCAUCAGUGACUUUGGCAACCUGUGAAAAACUAUUGUUUGUUGAACUUGUUUAUGAUAACAUGCCGUCCCCUCGGAAAAGCUCAGGAGCCCUGUUUGCGACA